UGUCUCAAAGAUUAAGCCAUGCAUGUGUAAGAAUAAACCGAAUAUGGUAAAUCCGCGAAUGGCUCAUUAUUCAGCCACAAAUCAUUGGAUCUAAUCAGUUACUUGGAUAACUGUUCAAAAGGAAGAGCUAAGACAUGCCUCGAAGGUCAAGCGCAAGCUUGAUCGCACUUCUUAGAAAAGACCAAUUGGCUUCGGCCAUCCAUUGGUGAAUCUUCCGAAGAAAGCAGAUCGCACGGUCUAGUACCGGCGACAUAUCCUUCAUGUGUCUGCCUUAUCAACUGUCGAUGGUAGUUUAUUGGACUACCAUGGUUGUAACGGGUAACGGAGAAUUAGGGUUCGACUCCGGAGAGGGAGCCUGAGAUACGGCUACCACAUCCAAGGAAGGCAGCAGGCGCGCAAAUUACCCACUCUCAGUGCGAGGAGGUAGUGACGAAAAAUAACGAGACAGUCUUCUAUGAGGUCUGUCAUCGGAAUGGGUACAACUUAAACCCUUUAACGAGGAUCUAUUGGAGGGCAAGUCUGGUGCCAGCAGCCGCGGUAAUUCCAGCUCCAAAAGUGUAUAUUAAAAUUGUUGCGGUUAAAAAGCUCGUAGUUGGAUCUUCGACCAUCAAGAGCGGUAGCCCAUUGGGUUUCACUGCUUCUUGUGGUCUCCUUACUGGUUUUUCCUUGGUGCUCUUAACUGAGUGCCUUGGUUGGCUAGUGCUUUUACUUUGAAAAAAUUAGAGUGCUCAAAGCAGGCGUUUGCCUGAAUAGUGGUGCAUGGAAUAAUGGAAUAGGACCUCGGUUCUAUUUUGUUGGUUUUCGGAGCUCGAGGUAAUGAUUAAGAGGGACAAACGGGGGCAUUUGUACUGCUGCGUUAGAGGUGAAAUUCUUGGAUCGCAGCAUGACAAACAACUGCGAAAGCAUUUGCCAAGAAUGUUUUCAUUAAUCAAGAACGAUAGUUAGAGGUUCGAAGGCGAUCAGAUACCGCCCUAGUUCUAACCGUAAACGAUGCCAACUAGCAAUCCGCUGGCGUUAAUUUUGACUCAGCGGGCGGCUGCCCGGAAACGAUAAGUUUUUCGGUUCCGGGGGAAGUAUGGUUGCAAAUCCGAAACUUAAAGGAAUUGACGGAAGGGCACCACCAGGAGUGGAGCCUGCGGCUUAAUUUGACUCAACACGGGAAAACUCACCCGGCCCGGACACUGUAAGGAUUGACAGAUUGAAAGCUCUUUCACGAUUCAGUGGGUGGUGGUGCAUGGCCGUUCUUAGUUGGUGGAGCGAUUUGUCUGGUUAAUUCCGAUAACGAACGAGACUCUAGCCUACUAAAUAGUGCGUGGAUCUUUAAGUCCUCGCUACUUCUUAGAGGGACAGACGGCGUCUAGCCGUACGAAAUUGAGCAAUAACAGGUCUGUGAUGCCC
rnacentral:rRNA from 1 species